rnacentral:tRNA from 1 species
UGGCUCAGUGGUAAAGAAUCUGCCUGCAAAGCAGGAGGCCCAGGUUUGAUCCCUGG